CAGUCUGCAACUCGACNGCAUGAAGCUGGAAUCGCUAGUAAUCGCGAAUCAGCAUGUCGCGGUGAAUACGUUCCCGGGUCUUGUACACACCGCCCGUCACACCAUGGGAGUUGGAAAUGCCCGAAGCCAGUGACCCAACCGUAAGGAGGGAGCUGUCGAAGGUGGAGCCGAUGACUGGGGUGAAGUCGUAACAAGGUACC
rnacentral:rRNA from 1 species